GAUGAAGAACGCAGCGAAAUGCGAUAAGUAAUGUGAAUUGCAGAAUUCAGUGAAUCAUCGAAUCUUUGAACGCACAUUGCGCCCGCUAGUAUUCUGGCGGGCAUGCCUGUCCGAGCGUCAUUUCAACCCUCAAGCCCCCGGGCUUGGUGUUGGGGAUCGGCGAGCCUCCGCGCCCGCCGUCCCCUAAAUCUAGUGGCGGUCUCGCUGUAGCUUCCUCUGCGUAGUAGCACACCUCGCACUGGGAAACAGCGCGGCCACGCCGUUAAACCCCCAACUUCUGAACGUUUGACCUCGGAUCAGGUAGGAAUACCCGCUGAACUUAAGCAUAUCUAAGCGGAGGA
rnacentral:misc_RNA from 1 species